rnacentral:rRNA from 1 species
UUCACUUUAACACUGAGGCGUGACGACGAGGCACUACGGUGCUGAAGCAACAAAUGCCCUGCUUCCAGGAAAAGCCUCUAAGCAUCAGGUAACAUCAAAUCGUACCCCAAACCGACACAGGUGGUCAGGUAGAGAAUACCAAGGCGCUUGAGAGAACUCGGGUGAAGGAACUAGGCAAAAUGGUGCCGUAACUUCGGGAGAAGGCACGCUGACAUGUAGGUGAAGUGAUUUACUCAUGGAGCUGAAGUCAGUCGAAGAUACCAGCUGGCUGCAACUGUUUAUUAAAAACACAGCACUGUGCAAACACGAAAGUGGACGUAUACGGUGUGACGCCUGCCCGGUGCCGGAAGGUUAAUUGAUGGGGUCAGCGCAAGCGAAGCUCCUGAUCGAAGCCCCGGUAAACGGCGGCCGUAACUAUAACGGUCCUAAGGUAGCGAAAUUCCUUGUCGGGUAAGUUCCGACCUGCACGAAUGGCGUAAUGAUGGCCAGGCUGUCUCCACCCGAGACUCAGUGAAAUUGAACUCGCUGUGAAGAUGCAGUGUACCCGCGGCAAGACGGAAAGACCCCGUGAACCUUUACUAUAGCUUGACACUGAACAUUGAGCCUUGAUGUGUAGGAUAGGUGGGAGGCUUUGAAGCGUGGACGCCAGUCUGCGUGGAGCCGACCUUGAAAUACCACCCUUUAAUGUUUGAUGUUCUAACGUGGACCCGUAAUCCGGGUUGCGGACAGUGUCUGGUGGGUAGUUUGACUGGGGCGGUCUCCUCCUAAAGAGUAACGGAGGAGCACGAAGGUUGGCUAAUCCUGGUCGGACAUCAGGAGGUUAGUGCAAUGGCAUAAGCCAGCUUGACUGCGAGCGUGACGGCGCGAGCAGGUGCGAAAGCAGGUCAUAGUGAUCCGGUGGUUCUGAAUGGAAGGGCCAUCGCUCAACGGAUAAAAGGUACUCCGGGGAUAACAGGCUGAUACCGCCCAAGAGUUCAUAUCGACGGCGGUGUUUGGCACCUCGAUGUCGGCUCAUCACAUCCUGGGGCUGAAGUAGGUCCCAAGGGUAUGGCUGUUCGCCAUUUAAAGUGGUACGCGAGCUGGGUUUAGAACGUCGUGAGACAGUUCGGUCCCUAUCUGCCGUGGGCGCUGGAGAACUGAGGGGGGCUGCUCCUAGUACGAGAGGACCGGAGUGGACGCAUCACUGGUGUUCGGGUUGUCAUGCCAAUGGCACUGCCCGGUAGCUAAAUGCGGAAGAGAUAAGUGCUGAAAGCAUCUAAGCACGAAACUUGCCCCGA